rnacentral:rRNA from 1 species
UACGUAGGGUGCAAGCGUUAAUCGGAAUUACUGGGCGUAAAGCGCACGUAGGCGGAUCUUUAAGUCAGAGGUGAAAUCCCAAGGCUCAACCUUGGAACUGCCUUUGAUACUGGGGAUCUUGAGUCCGGGAGAGGUGAGUGGAACUGCGAGUGUAGAGGUGAAAUUCGUAGAUAUUCGCAAGAACACCAGUGGCGAAGGCGGCUCACUGGCCCGGUACUGACGCUGAGGUGCGAAAGCGUGGGGAGCAAACAGG